GCUAUAUAUAAUGACACUGCACUCUGGCCUGGGGGACAGCGCGAGACCCUGUUUCAAAAAAAAAAAAAGACUUUCCCUCCUACCCUUGCCCCCUUAUUUAAUUCUUAGAAUUAAAAAAGAAAUCGCUGGGCAGAAACGAGCAGAGAUUUAAGUUUGCACUUACAUCAGCCAUGUGGAUGGGGAAUGCAGUUGUGCCUGAAGCUGUGGAAAGCGAAACUAGCUCUGCAGCCCUGCAGAAUGUGUUAAGCUCCCCCCACCCCAAGCACCUUGAGAAGAACAUUAUUGAAUUCGUAUCUACUCUUGUAGCUUGGUGAAGGGUGAGGGGAAAGAACGAUCUUCCAGCCUAUUGCCAGAGCUUAACAGCCCCAGUUAACAAUGUCUUAUGAGGUGGUUCUGCAAACGUACUGGGGACCUACCCUGCAAGUGGCUGUGCAGCAGGUACUACUGAAUCCAAUCUUGUAGCCCCAGUCAACCACACAGCAGGAGGUUUAAUGUCAAUUUGCCGAGGAGGAGAUUUCAACCUGGAAUACCAUGGAGAUUGCCAAGGAGUUGAGCCCCUUAAGAAUCAGUGGGAAUAGCAAAAGGAUUCAGAAGACAAGACCUAUGGCUAAAAGCUGCCCCUUCCCAGUUGAUCUGGUGUGGUCUCUGUAUGAAUGCUGCCAUGGGUAUGAAGAGGCAGCAACUUGGAGGCUGUCCACUAACCACACUCCUUGCAGCAGGUUCUGAGCAGCACAGCUUCUUGGCCACCAGAGUCACGUAUCACAGUUUGUGCAGUGAUAGUAUUAGAUGGUGGAGCCUUUGGAGGUGAUUGGGUCAUGAGUGGAGUCCUCAUGAGUGGGAUCAGUGUCCUUACAAAGCAACCCCAGAGAGUUCUCCUUCCACCAAGUGAAGACACAGCAAGAAAGCACCGUCUGUGCACCUUCACCAGAACGUAAUCAUGCCGGUGCCUUUUUCUUGGACUUCUAGCCUCUAGAACCAUGAGAAAUAAAUGUCUGUUGUCUAAGAGCUAUCCAGUUUAAUGUAUUGUUAUAGCAGCCUGAACAGACCAAGACACAUAUGUUCAUAGCAGUAUUAUUCUCAAUAGCUAAGAGGCAGAAGCAACCCAGGUAUCCAACAAUGGAUGUUGAAUGGAUAGACAAAAUGGAGUAGAUACAUACAAUGCAAUAUUACUCAGCUUUGAAAGGGAAGGAAAUUCU